GUAGUCUCGCACAGAUGCAUAUCAAUAAGCGGAGGAAAAGAAACUAACAAGGAUUCCCUUAGUAACGGCGAGUGAAGCGGGAAGAGCUCAAAUUUGAAAUCCUCAAGGUUUUACCUUGACGAAUUGUAGUUUAAAGAAGUGUUUUCUGUUGAAGUUUUGGUAAAAGUUCUUUGGAAUAGGACAUCAUAGAGGGUGAGAAUCCCGUAUUUGACCAUUAUUUUCAGCUGUGUGAUACACUUUCAAAGAGUCGGAUUGUUUGGGAAUGCAGUCCAAAAUGGGUGGUAAAUUUCAUCUAAAGCUAAAUAUUGGCGAGAGACCGAUAGCGAACAAGUACCGUGAGGGAAAGAUGAAAAGAACUUUGAAAAGAGAGUUAAACAGUACGUGAAAUUGUCAAAAGGGAAGCGUUUGACACCAGUGUUGUUUUCUCGAAAAUCAAUUAAAAAGAGUUUGAUUUUGUUGUGUAUUGACCUUAACAGCUUGCAUUUCAAUUUUCUUGCUUUUUUUAAUGCACUUUUCGUUUAACAAGUCAACAUCAGUUUCUUUUGUUGUAAAAAGGUCAUUGGAAGGUGGCUUUCUUUUCGGAGAAAGUGUUUAUAGCCUUUGACUCCUGCAAUCGGAGAGACUGAGGUCUGCAGCGUAGAUCCUUCGGGGUUAGAUACAUUUGUGCUAAGUUAUAGCUUUUUAUAGACAACUUGUUGACUAUGAUUAGUCUUGUAGCUUACUCGCUUAUGCUAUUUUACCUACGCUUAGGAUGUUGAGCGCAUGUCUCUCUCU
rnacentral:rRNA from 1 species